rnacentral:rRNA from 1 species
AGUGAACGCUGGCGGUAGGCCUAACACAUGCAAGUCGAACGGCAGCACAGUAAGAGCUUGCUCUUAUGGGUGGCGAGUGGCGGACGGGUGAGGAAUACAUCGGAAUCUACUUUUUCGUGGGGGAUAACGUAGGGAAACUUACGCUAAUACCGCAUACGACCUACGGGUGAAAGCAGGGGAUCUUCGGACCUUGCGCGAUUGAAUGAGCCGAUGUCGGAUUAGCUAGUUGGCGGGGUAAAGGCCCACCAAGGCGACGAUCCGUAGCUGGUCUGAGAGGAUGAUCAGCCACACUGGAACUGAGACACGGUCCAGACUCCUACGGGAGGCAGCAGUGGGGAAUAUUGGACAAUGGGCGAAAGCCUGAUCCAGCCAUACCGCGUGGGUGAAGAAGGCCUUCGGGUUGUAAAGCCCUUUUGUUGGGAAAGAAAAGCAGCAGGUUAAUACCCCGCUGUUCUGACGGUACCCAAAGAAUAAGCACCGGCUAACUUCGUG